AUGGGGCGGCUAGGGAACGACCCGAUCGAUCGAGUCGCUGAACUCAUUGACAGUGCGACCGGGACCUGGGAUCUUGAAACAGUCCGUCGGAACUUUCUCGCACCAGAUGCGGAGGCCAUAUUGAAUAUUCCUAUCAGGCAAAAUGGUGGAGAAGAUUUUCUGGCAUGGGCCUUUGAACGAUCCGGAGAGUAUACUGUAAAAUCAGCCUACCGUGCUCUAGUGACUCAGAACGAGCGUCGCGCUCUAGAGGAAGGGACGGCGGUGGGAACCUCAUCUUCUCAAAAACAGUUAUGGACUGCUCUAUGGAAGCUCAAAGUGACCCCAAGAGUUCGCGUUUUCAUGUGGAGAGUACUCAGGGGGAUCCUUCCUGACUACGCCAACAUGAAAUAUCGCCACAUCCGCAUUGAUUCGCUUUGCGAUCUUUGCAAGGCUACGGAAGAAGAUCUCUUCCACGCACUGAUCCUUUGCACGCAUGCGCAAGCCUUCUGGUCCGCAGCCAAGGAGGUUCUUGGUCUGAAACUACCACGAUUGCACUAUGACACUUGGGCACAAGAUCUGGUGGUAGAUACCAGAUUCUCGGACCAGGAUAGAUGCAAGAUCAUCUCAAUCAUGCACUCAAUCUGGAACUCCAGGAAUCGCUGGACGCACGACGAGGAGGGUUAUGAUCCCGUCCAGGCCAUCAAGGGGGCCCGAGACGACCUAGCUAUUCUUGACAUGCCACCACCCCAGCGAAAAAACUUGGAGAUUCAGAAUUGGAAACCACCACAGCCCGGGUGGAUUAAAAUUAACACGGACGGCGCACUGGACACCCAACUUCAGAAGGGAGGUGCGGGAGGAAUUGCCCGCUCUCAUCUCUCCUUUAUGGGUGCAUGGAGCAAGCCCAUCCCAGGUGUUACUGAUCCCUUCAUUGCAGAAACCCUCGCGUUGUGA
rnacentral:rRNA from 1 species